rnacentral:rRNA from 1 species
UUGUCGAUUCCUGCAAAAUGCAGAACAACCCGCGAACCAGUUUAUUAAAACGUCCCGCUUCGCGCGGGAGCGGUGCGGGGCGCGUCGGAGCUGCGGACCCUGCGCUCGCGCGUUGUCUACGUGCCUCGCGUGCCUCGCGCCCCCUAAACGAACCCCGGCGCGAGUUGCGUCAAGGAAUCUCCAACUUAGAACGCGGCUCCCCUGCCCCGAUUUCGUCGGGACCCGGGGGUUCCUGCGAACUGAACACAUCAAACGACUCUCGACAACGGAUAUCUCGGCUCUCGCAUCGAUGAAGAACGUAGUGAAAUGCGAUACUUGGUGUGAAUUGCAGAAUCCCGUGAACCAUCGAGUUUUUGAACGCAAGUUGCGCCCGAAGCCUUCUGGCCGAGGGCACGUCUGCCUGGGCGUCACGCAUCGCAGCCCCCCGCACCACAAAACAAGAAAGAAAAACAAUGCCUCGUCGCUGGGGUUUUGUUGGCCUUUGGGUGGGUGGUCGGGGAGGCGACGUUGGCCUCCCGUGCGGGUAACCUCGCGGUUGGUCUAAAUUUGAGUCCUCGGCGUCUUGCGGCGCGAUCGACGGUGGUUGCAAUAGGCCCUCGGCGAAUCACGUUGCGCCUGCAAGACGCGCGAUCGGGAACUCCUGGUCGACCCUAAUGCGUGGACUCGUCGGUGGACGACACCAGCGAGAAGACGUUAUCGAAGCGACCCCA